rnacentral:rRNA from 1 species
GAUGAACGCUGGCGGCGUGCUUAACACAUGCAAGUCGAACGGAAAGGCCCAAGCUUGCUUGGGUACUCGAGUGGCGAACGGGUGAGUAACACGUGGGUGAUCUGCCCUGCACUUCGGGAUAAGCCUGGGAAACUGGGUCUAAUACCGGAUAGGACGAUGGUUUGGAUGCCAUUGUGGAAAGUUUUUUCGGUGUGGGAUGAGCUCGCGGCCUAUCAGCUUGUUGGUGGGGUAAUGGCCUACCAAGGCGUCGACGGGUAGCCGGCCUGAGAGGGUGUACGGCCACAUUGGGACUGAGAUACGGCCCAGACUCCUACGGGAGGCAGCAGUGGGGAAUAUUGCACAAUGGGCGCAAGCCUGAUGCAGCGACGCCGCGUGGGGGAUGACGGCCUUCGGGUUGUAAACUCCUUUCGCUAGGGACGAAGCGUUUUUGUGACGGUACCUGGAGAAGAAGCACCGGCUAACUACGG